rnacentral:rRNA from 1 species
UACGUAGGGGGCAAGCGUUGUCCGGAAUUAUUGGGCGUAAAGAGCGUGUAGGCGGUCCGGUAAGUCAGCUGUGAAAGUCAAGGGCUCAACCCUUGAAUGCCGGUUGAUACUGUCGGGCUAGAGUCCGGAAGAGGCGAGUGGAAUUCCUGGUGUAGCGGUGAAAUGCGCAGAUAUCAGGAGGAACACCGAUUGCGAAGGCAGCUCGCUGGGACGUAACUGACGCUGAGACGCGAAAGCGUGGGGAGCAAACAGG